CUACGGGUGGCUGCAGUGAGGAAUAUUGCACAAUGGGGGGAACCCUGAUGCAGCAACGCCGCGUGGAGGAUGACGCAUUUCGGUGUGUAAACUCCUUUUAUAUGUCAAGAAAAUGACAGUAGCAUAUGAAUAAGCACCGGCUAACUCCGUGCCAGCAGCCACGGUAAUACGGAGGGUGCAAGCGUUACUCGGAAUCACUGGGCGUAAAGGACGCGUAGGCGGGUUGGAAAGUCAGGUGUGAAAUCCUGCAGCUUAACUGUAGAACUGCACUUGAAACUUCUAAUCUAGAGUAUGGGAGGGGGAGAUGGAAUUAGUGGUGUAGGGGUAAAAUCCGUAGAUAUCACUAGGAAUACCUAAAGCGAAGGCGAUCUCCUGGAACAUUACUGACGCUAAGGCGUGAAAGCGUGGGGAGCAAACAGGAUUAGAUACCCCCGUAGUC
rnacentral:rRNA from 1 species